rnacentral:lncRNA from 1 species
CUUCUGGUACAUGUUACUCGGUAAUGUAUCUCGGUCCCACUCGGAUGGCCGCAGCAUCCUUUCCUGCUGGGAUGGCGUUAGCUGCUCGCUGUACUCCCAGAAGUAUCUCCGCUUGCCUCUUUUUCGAGAGGUUAUUGCAGUCAUUUCUUUUAAAUCCUCCACAGAAUCAUUUUCGUACCCUGGUUCUGAGAAAGUAUCACUGAUGUCAUCGUCCUUAUCAUCCUCAUAAUCUUCUUCCUCAUCAUCGUUUUCAGACAGCUCAUGCUCACUGCCAAAUCCUUCAUCAUGAUCCUCAUCUUCA